rnacentral:rRNA from 1 species
UACGUAGGGUGCGAGCGUUGUCCGGAAUUAUUGGGCGUAAAGAGCUCGUAGGCGGUUUGUUGCGUCGGCUGUGAAAACCUGCGGCUUAACUGUGGGCUUGCAGUCGAUACGGGCAGACUUGAGUUCGGCAGGGGAGACUGGAAUUCCUGGUGUAGCGGUGAAAUGCGCAGAUAUCAGGAGGAACACCGGUGGCGAAGGCGGGUCACUGGCCCGGUACUGACGCUGAGGUACGAAAGCGUGGGGAGCAAACAGG